CCGCCCUAGUUCUAACCAUAAACGAUGCCAGCUAGCGAUCCGCCGAAGUUCCUCCGAUAACUCGGCGGGCAGCUUCCGGGAAACCAAAGCUUUUGGGUUCCGGGGGAAAUAUGGUUGCAAAGCUGAAAUUUAAAGGAAUUGACGGAAGGGCACCACCAGAAGUGGAGCCUGCGGCUUAAUUUGACUCAAAACGGGAAACCUCACCAGGCCCAGACACCGGAAGGAUUGACAGAUUGAUAGCUCUUUCUUGAUUCGGUGGGUGGUGGUGCAUAGCCGUUCUUAGUUGGUAGAGCGUUUUGUCUGGUUAAUUCCGGUAACGAACGAGACUCUAGCCUGCUAAAUAGGCGUACCUUAUGGUAUCGCGAAGGCCCCCGGCUUCGG
rnacentral:ncRNA from 1 species